ensembl:snRNA U1 U1 spliceosomal RNA
AAACCUGCUAGGGUAGAACAAUGGGUGACAACAGGUUUAAGCAGGUGGUUUUACCCUGGUUGAGGCUCGCUCAUUGCACUCUGACCGUCCUGACCCUGUGAAUUGUGGGAGAUGUGGGAAUCUUAACUGCAUAACUUGUGGUAAUGGAGAUUGUGUUCGCACUCAUCUGUU